rnacentral:rRNA from 1 species
GCACAAAAAAACCUCCGAAUGUUAUUUACCAAGACAUACAAGUCAAAGUUAACCAUGACACAAUUGACCCAAAUUAAUUUGAUCAACGGACCA